AGCCACCAGUGAGAGUUGAACUCACGACCCUGAGUUUACAAGACCAGUAUCUAACCACUGGAGUAUGGUGGC
rnacentral:tRNA from 1 species